rnacentral:snoRNA from 1 species
GACUAAAUGAUGGUAAUGACGAUUUGAAACCUGAAUUCACCAUGGUGGAUAAAACUUCACACUGACUU